AGGGGAGGGAAGCAAUCUCGUGGCCCUGGCGCUUCCUGAAGUCGCUGCAGCCCUGGGACCAUCGCCCCCCCAUCCCACAGGAUUUCCCAUUGCCAACUUGGGCUGGCUGUGAAGAAGAGGAAGAUGCCCCUGGACACCCAGGCAGAGCAGGAGCUGAGGAUGGAGAGCAGGGAGGACAAAUCCCCAUGGCAGAACCUCGUGGAAGAGGCUGAUAUGGGCGGCUCCAGGGCACAGGAACCCAACGGGGAGGAAAAGCCCCAGAGAUGUCGCACGAGGAGGGGCUGCAAACGCAGAUCGCGGGGAUCUGAGUAGGAAAGACCCAGCCUGGGCCGGGAAGGCAGCCAGUGGUUGAGCCAGAGCUCGGAGCUGGUGGUCCAUGGGCCGCUCCAUGAUGGGGAGAAGCCCCACAAGUGCAUGGAGUGUAGGAAGAGCUUCAGGUGGAGCUCCGGCCUGAUCGUGUACCAGAGGACCCACACCAGGGAACGGCCCUAUUAGUGUGAUCAAUGCAGGAAGCGGUUUCAGACAGCUCCAGUCUCCUUAUGCACCAGCGUAUGCACACAGAAGACAGGCCCUUCUUCUGCCCUGACUGCAGGCAGGGUUUCAGGCAGAACGCCCAUCUUUUCAUGCACCAACGCAUCCACACUGGGGAGAGGCCCCAUGAGUGUGAGGAAUGUGGGAAGAGCUUCAGCCAGAGCUCCGCCCUGAUCCAGCCACCAGAGGACCCACACUGGGGAGAGGCCCUACGAAUUUUCCGAAUGUGGGAUGGGGUUUCGGGUCGGCUUCAGUGUCUUCCAGUGUGAAAGGGGUUAACAGCGGGCCUGUUAGCUAAAGGAGCGAGAAGAAGCUGAUAAGGAGCUCUCUCCAAGGCUGUAACCAAGGGUCUCGGGAUCUCCUCUGGUCUGGUCUGGUUGGGAAGAUCCUGAGGUGUGUCUCUGUUAAAAGUCUCUUUUCCCCAACCCAGCAGCCGAAGAAGGAGUCGAGAAGUCUUCGGUUCACGUUCUCAAGGUUGUUUAUUAUAUUUUAUCUAAAACAUUUUCUGUCUGGCCUGCCAAGGUCUGUUCCGCAGGUCGGUCUGAGGCACACACUCCUCCUCUCGGGCUGGUGCUAUCUUUUAUACUAAAAACUACGUAUACUAUGUUUACAAUAAUGUUCCAAUACCUAUCACCUAUGUUAGACAGUGACUUUCUACUCUAAACCAAUCUGUGAAUGCCAACAUCAUCCUGAACAUGGAUGCCAAGGAAAAGAAAGAAGGACAGGGCACGCCCAAAUCCCUCCAUCUUGGAAUCCCUGACCCCCAUGUACAGAAUUUCAAACCCCCCUGUACAACAUACAAAACCCCCCUGUACAGUGCUCCAAAAUUUUUCCCUUCCCCCUGUGAUUGCUAUUAUGCUACUUAAACUUUUGUGGCCUGUAAUUCUUCAUAUAAGGUUGGCAAUUUGCUCCAUGAAUUAAGAUUGAAUUUCCAGGUGUCUUUGGCUUCCUGCCAGGGUCUCCGAGCCCCUGCCAGGGCUUUGAGACAUCCAGGGCAUCCAGAGAGAUGUCCUGGGUUCUGACAUAAGGGGACCAAGAGAACUGAGGAACUGAAGAAAGAUAAGAAGAGAACUUCACAGCUGCACAAAGUAUUUUUAGAAAGUUACUUAAGUCACUGUAACUUUUCACCAAUGGUGUUAUGUUGAUUUAUUGUGUCCAAUAGUUAGGGUAGAAGAAGCAUAAACAAUUAGAAAGUGUAUAAAAGGUCAGCCAUGUUCAGUAAUAAAGAGUUGCCAUCUGA